rnacentral:ncRNA from 1 species
UAAUAUCUUCAGGGCGGGGUGUAAGUCCCCACCGGCGGUAUAGCCCGCGAACCUUAUAAAAAGUAAGGCCGAUUCGGUGUAAUUCCGAAGCCGACAGUUAAAGUCUGGAUGGAAGAAGGUAAUC